UUAUUGGUAUCUCUGCUGUAGUUAACGCUUGUUGUUGAUAUGGAAAAUAUGGAGCAUACGCUGUUGUCACGUUCAGUGGUAUAGCUUGCAAUGGGGUGACAUUAACUAGCCUCUGAAUAUUGGUAUUGGAAUUGGCCCUUGUUUCUAAUAUCCGUGGAUAACUACCCAUUGAUUCGUUCCAAGUGAGAUUUUGAUAUCUAUCUUGAACUGGAAUCAUCAUGGCUCCCGCAAUUAAAAACUGAUCAUAAUGGCAUUUCUUCCAAACCUUGGCUCUAUUAAGGGAUGCAGCCACCGUAAUUGGUUGAGCUUCCUUUACAAACAUUUUUAGCUCUAGUAGGUACAAAUCAUUAAUUAAUAUGGAUAAGAUAAAU
rnacentral:lncRNA from 1 species